rnacentral:rRNA from 1 species
GACGAACGCUGGCGGCGUGCUUAACACAUGCAAGUCGAACGGAAAGGCCCUGCUUUUGUGGGGUGCUCGAGUGGCGAACGGGUGAGUAACACGUGAGUAACCUGCCCUUGACUUUGGGAUAACUUCAGGAAACUGGGGCUAAUACCGGAUAGGAGCUCCUGCUGCAUGGUGGGGGUUGGAAAGUUUCGGCGGUUGGGGAUGGACUCGCGGCUUAUCAGCUUGUUGGUGGGGUAGUGGCUUACCAAGGCUUUGACGGGUAGCCGGCCUGAGAGGGUGACCGGCCACAUUGGGACUGAGGUACGGCCCAGACUCCUACGGGGGGGAACAGGGGGGAAUAUUGCACAAUGGGCGGAAGCCUGAUGCAGCAACGCCGCGUGCGGGAAGACGGCCUUCGGGUUGUAAACCGCUUUCGCCUGUGACGGAGGGGUGGUGACGGUAAUGGGUAAAGAAGCACCGGCUAAAUACGUG